UACGUAGGGGGCAAGCGUUAUCCGGAUUUACUGGGUGUAAAGGGAGCGUAGGCGGCAGUGCAAGUCAGAAGUGAAAGCCCGGGGCUCAACUCCGGGACUGCUUUUGAAACUGUAUAGCUUGAUUGCAGGAGAGGCAAGUGGAAUUCCUAGUGUAGCGGUGAAAUGCGUAGAUAUUAGGAGGAACACCAGUGGCGAAGGCGGCUUGCUGGACUGUAAAUGACGCUGAGGCUCGAAAGCGUGGGGAGCAAACAGG
rnacentral:rRNA from 1 species